CUUUCUCUUGGAAUCCCUUCCCCUCUGGCAGGAAGUAGAGGAAGAGCAAACUGGCUUUGGGAACCAGGCAUACCUAGUUGUGUUGUCAGCCAAAGCCCACCAAGUUCAUCCUGUAAAGUCACACGCCUGAAGAAACAACCAAAAUUCCAUUACUUAAAGACAUGAUAUACAGAACAUAUUGAUCUACAAAAGACCCAACGACCCAAAUUAUAUGCUGCCCAACCUAUUGGUGAACUGGAUUGGAACUGGCCAAGGAUUGUUGCUUCAAAUUCUCUGGCUUCGUUUUCAUGUAAAGAGCUUACAGAUUACCAGGAAGUAUUCAGAAAACAUCUAAAAGAAAAAUACCUAAAGAUAGGAGUUGAUAAAUGUUAUCAGCAUGGCAAGCAUAUAGAGUCACGACUGCUUCUUGUAAAAGACCAUGGUAUAUCAGAAGAGACACCAUAUGGAAUUCCUCAACAAGAUCAUUUUACUGACAUGGAACAUGUAUUUGAUUCUAAUGAAGAGGGCUCCAGCUCACCCCAAACUGUGGUGCUUCAGGGAUGUGCUGGGACUGGGAAAACACCUGUGGUGCACAAGUUCAUGUUUGACUGGGCAGCAGGAACGGUUACUCCAGGCAGGUGUGACUAUCUCAUCUACGUCAACUGCAUUGAAAUCAGCCAUGUUGCUAACCUUAGUGCUGCUGACCUUACACUAACACUUUUCAAGAUAUAAAUGGACCAAUCUUGGACACUAUUCUCAUAUAUCCAGAGAAGAUUCUGCUCAUUCUCGACAGAUUUCCUGAGCUGCAGGACCCUGUUGGUGACCAAGAAGAGGAUCUUAGUGUUCACUCCCAGGAGAGGAGGCCAGUAGAGAGUCUCUUGUGCAGUUUUGUGAGGAAAAAACUGUUCCCCGAAUCCUCCCUCCUGAUAACUGCCUGGCCUACAGCCAUGAAGAAGCUCCACUCUCUGUUAAAACAACCUAUCCAGGCAGAGAUAUUAUGGUUUACAGAUACCAAAAAGAGAGCAUAUUUAUUGAGCCAGUUUUCAGGUGCUAAUACAACAAUGAAAGUCUUUUAUGAUCUUUGAGAGAAUGAAGACCUUGACAUUAUGUCUUCACUUCCCAUCGUCUCCUGGAUGAUAUGCAAUGUACUGCAGUCACAGGGAGAUGGUGACAGGACUCUCUUGAGGUCACUUCAGACCAUGACUGAUGUGUAUUUAUUCUACUUUUCCAAGUGCCUCAAAACCCUUACAGGUAUCUCAGUAUGGGAGGGACAAAGUUGCCUGUGGGGUCUUUGCCGUUUGGCUGCAGAGGGUCUGCAAAAUCAUCAGGUUUUGUUUGCAGUCAGUGACCUCAGAAGACAUGGGAUAGGAGUGUGUGAUACCAACUGCACUUUUCUCAGUCGCUUUUUGAAAAAGGCUGAAGGAGCUGUCAGUGUCUACACUUUCCUUCACUUCAGUUUCCAAGAGUUCUUGACUGCUGUCUUCCAUGCCCUGAAGAAUGACAAUAGCUGGAUGUUUUUUUAUCAAGCAGAGAAAAUGUGGCAAGAAAUGUUCCAACAAUAUGGAAAAGGUUUUUCAUCACUAAUGAUAUAAUUCUUAUUUGGCCUCUUACAUAAAGGAAAAGGAAAGGCUGUGGAAACUACUUUUGGAAGAAAAGUUUCCCCAGGACUUCAAGAGGAGUUACUGAAGUGGACUGAGAGAGAAAUAAAGGAUAAGUCGUCUAGGUUACAGAUUGAGCCGGUGGACCCGUUUCACUGUUUGUAUGAGAUUCAGGAAGAAGAAUAUGCAAAAAGGAUAAUUGAUGAUUUACAGUCAAUUAUACUGCUUCAACCUACCUAUACAAAAAUGGACAUUCUGGUUAUGUCCUUCUGUGUAAAAAGCAGUCACAGUCACCUGUCAGUGUCUCUGAAGUGUCAGCACCUACUUGGAUUUGAGGAGGAAGAGUGAGCCUCAACAUUCGUGCCACCAGCCUUAACACUUAAUCAGUCCUUUCAGCUGCGCAGUUUGCCAGUGUGUCAGCUACACCUGCUCUGCCAAGCACCGCAUACUCCAUACUGUAAAAUCAAAGACCUGAAACUGAUUUUCUGUCGCCUCACAGCUUCUUGUGGUAGGGACCUCUCCUCAGUAUUUGAAACUAGCCAGCAUCUGACAGAUUUAGAAUUUGUAAAAAAUACCCUCGAAGAUUCAGGAAUGAAGCUUCUGUGUGAAGGAUUAAAACAGCCCAACUGUGUAUUACAGACAUUGAGAAAUCACCCAUCUUCUGCGUCACUCACGCUGGGAGCUGUAGACUGGAGCUGUUCCUAUUCGGCCAUCUUGGAACCCAGUCCUUGGACUCUUCGUUUGUACACUUUUCAAAAAAAGGAACCAGGCUCACUCUACCCAAGGGCUUAGUAAGCAGUUGCCUAUGCAGCAUGGGAAAGUUUUCCUUGCUCAAAGACCUGAUCCUUUCCACAUUCCCAGGCCUUCAGUUUUCACCACAAGUCUCAUGAGAUAAGGUGGUUGAAAGCACUGUAUGGUGAAGAAACAAGAAACUAUUUGCAGCCUGUUAACACCUGACCUCUAAUUAGGUUAGCAUAUUAGCUCCUGACUGUUUCCCAGGAGUCUAGAACUUACAGAACAAGUGACUUUUAGUAGUUAGAAGAGGAGAGGGGAAGAGGAGGUUCUGGAGCACUGGUAGACAGCAUGGCAGGCUUGGUCUGGGCAUAUCUGUAAGUGCCUAAACUGGAAAAGGAGGUAAUGGCCUGGGGAAAGAAGGUGCACACCACUAACAAGUGUCACCUACUUGCCAGUUUUAUUUAUAGUUGAUCCAGUUUCUCUUACUCUCCUGUGUCUUUCUUGCUUUUCUAACUCUAGAAAACCUUCCUUGAAUGAGUUGGAGGUGCAGUAACAUGUUCCAUUCCCUAGUGGGAAUGUCUCAUGCCCCACCUCACCAAACCACUCCUUAAUCCCCAUUAGAAUGAGCUGGGGCUAUGCCCCCUUUUCCAAAAUAAACAGAUAUUAAUAAUUGCAUUAGCCCAUUCUUGCAUUGCCAUAAAGAAAUACCUGAGACUGGAUAAUUUAUAAAGAAAAGAGAUUUUAUGAACCAUGAACCUAGACCAGACUCAUGGUUCUGCACACUGUAUAGGAAGCAUGAUGCUGGCAUCUGCUUGGCUUCUGGGGAGGCCUCAGGAAAGUUACAAUCAUGGUGGAAGGCAAAGGGGGGGCUGGCAUGCCACCUGGCUGGAGCAGGAGGAAGAGAGAUUGAAGGGAGAGGUGCCACACACUUUUAAAUGACCAUAUCUCAUGAGAACAAACUCACUAUUUUGAGGACAGUACCAAGAGGGAUGGUGAUAAAUCAUUCAGGAGAAACUGUCCCCAUGAUCCAAUCACCUUACAAUUUGACGUGAAAUUUGGGCAGGGACACAGAUCCAAACCAUAUCAAUAAUAUUAAUAGAAAUUAUUACUGUUAAUAUUAAUAAUAAUAAGCUACUAAUACUUGUACAGGCAUGGUACAUUACUAAAUUUUCUUAUCUAAUUCUAUGAAGUAGAUAUUUAUUUUCUUGAUGUUACUUAUGAGACUCAGAGCCAUCAAGUAAUAUGCCAAAGGCCAUACAGGUAGUAAGUGGCAGAGCCAAAAUUCAACCCUAUAUCUGACUCUAAAACCUGUGCUCUUAACAAUCAAACAUCUUCAUACAGACUUCAGCUAGAGGUAGAGGAAGAAGGAAGAGGUAGACAUAAAACAAUCAUUCCACUCAACAAAUGUGUCUGUACUUCCUACUAUGUGUUGAACCUAUGGAGUAUGAAAAGAUCAGUGUGUACCGUCCCUGCCCUUAAUAAGAUUAGUUCAACAGAGGGGAUAUGACCAUUGUUCUAAUAGCUCUAAUAAAAGGCAGAGUUGGAUCAGUCCCAUAACAUAAUAAUGAUAAUAGCUACCAUUUAUUAAGAGUAUAGUAUGUGUCAGGCACUGUGCUAACACAUUCUACAUAUAUUUAAUCUUCAUGACAGUUCUGGAACUAUUAAUAUUAGUCAAUUUUAUACAUGAGAAAACAAGACUAAUAGAGGGUUAAUUAACUUCUGUGGCUCAGAAUAAUGUGUUACUGUGCUCUUCAGAAGCAAAAGGAGAGAACUGGACUCAAUAUUCACUUAUACAACAUUUUUGAGUGAACAAAGUAUUUGUACCCAGCUCAGUGCCUAUAAACCAGAAUCACCACCUGCUUCUGUAUCACCUGCACUUCAGCCAGCACUGAAUCUGAAGUAUCUUGACAUUAUACUUUCAUUUCAUUUGGAACCUUGAUAACAGUGAAGCCCACUAGAGUCCUAUCACUGGCUACCACUACAAAUGCCCGCCACAUCCUUUUUAUGUUCAAAACCAUUUAUUGAUUAUGAAUAUACUAAGUGCCACUGAAUUGUACACUUUAAAAUGGUUAAAUUGGUAAAUUUCAUGUUAAGUGUAUUUUACAAUAAAAAACAUUUGUUAAACAAAAUGUUAAUUUUUAUGAAAAAUGUAAUAUACAUUGCUUGCUUCCAAAAAGUUAAUCUUCCUGCCAAAAAGUUUCCAAAGCUGUAUAAUUAGGGCAACAGAACCUUUUUCCAAGGAGAAAAAUAGACAGCUCUACUGCCACCUGGGCAGACUUUUGGAGAGCAGUUUUGCUUCCAUUGUCUCUCAUAUUCCUAUAGGAUGUGCUUCUUAUCCCAGCCCUUCUUUCCAUGUCUUCCUUUCCUCAUAAAUAUUUCUACUAUGUUCCCCAGAUUCUUUGUUGUGUGAUAAACAAGCUGUCUUACAUGCUCACCCUUGUCACCAAAUGCUACUUGUGCCUCCUUGCCUUACUUGACUCAACUUUUCUCUAAGGACGCUGUUGGAGUAGUGGAGAGUGGAGGAUGCCCAUUCUAAUACAGGGACUGGAGAAGGGGCUGGCAUUCUCUAGAUUUCCUGAGGCUGUUUCCAGGCCGUUGUUUGUCUUCCUUGCUGGAACCACCACUUUAACCUAUGCCAGAUGAAUCAAUCACUUACCACAGCUCAUCUCUGUUGCCUGGCCACUGGUCAUGCCCCCAAAGUAAUCCAGGCCUUUUGGCCUCUAACACAUAUCUUUCCUUGCCAACAUUCAUCUCAUUGUCCUGGGGGGUUUCAAAGUCCAAAUGGUUUAUUACUCCAAACCAUUGGCCUAGCAGUUCCUGACUUUUUGAAACAUAAUGACCUUGACCUGCCUCCAUUUUAGACAUCCUCUUUCAUGUCCACUCUCUAGACUCGUGCAGCUUAAUAUAGUAGCCACUAGCCACAGGUGAUUGUUGAAAUUUAAAUUAACUGAAAUUAAAUAAAAAUUUUAAAUCAGCUCUCACUUGCACCAGCCACAUUUUAAGUGCUCAAUAGCUACAUGUGGCUAGUGGCUAACAUAUCAGAUAGUGCAGACAGAAAAUUUACAUCACCACAGAGAGUUCUAUUAGAUAGCAUAGCUUUCAACAUUGUCCUCGCCCAGAAUAUAUACUUCUGCUCCACUGCAGAAAUAUAAAAAAAUGUAACCAAAUGUGGUAGCAUGUGCCUAUAGUCACAGCUACUCAGGAGGCUGAAGCAGGAAGACCAUUUGAGUCCAAGGAGUUUGAGGAUGUAGUGCACUAUGAUCAUUCCUGUGAAUAGCCACUAUACUCCAACCUGUCUGUCUCUUAAACAACCAACCAAAACCAAAACAAAACAAAACAAAACAAAACAAAAAAACUUCACUCCAGCCUGGGCAACAGAGUGAGACCCAGUCUAAAAACACAAAAACAAAAAAGAGUAAAGAAAUAAGUGUCCCUAAAUUUAAAGGCACAAAAAUAUUGCAUCAGGAAAAAUGGCAGGUAGGAGGAAGGACUAACUUGCAUCUCCCACUUGGAUGGACAGGGUAGUGUGCAGAGGAGACUCAAAUCAUGAACUUUUGCUCCAAGAACUACUGCAGGAACAUACCAGGAAAGCUGAGAGAAUCCACAGACCCUUUGAAAGAAGUGGCUUGCUGCUGCAGGCUCUGUGAGACAGAUGAAAAACUGUGAGUGCCCAAAGUGUGAGAGGGGGAACAUUUGCCCCUAAACACAUAUCCUCACUGGGGAUCCUGAAGAUCCAGAUCACGGGAGAAGGAUUUGACCUUACCUGGAGCUGAGUUGAAUUUAGAGAGCUGAGCAAAAUACAGGGAUAUAGGAGGCAAUGGGAAGAGCCCUGUGGGCACUGUCAGUCCCCAGGGAAGCCAUUCCUGACUUUGUCUCACAGGAAUCCAUGGGGUGGGCUGUCAGUGGAAUUGGGGAAAGCCCACAGGGAGAAGGAAACUUCUAGCUGAACUGGGUAACAAUUUUGACUGAAUGCAAAGUUUCCUGGACAGAAUCCAUGGGAGGGAGCAAACGGGGAGUGUGGAUACAAGCAAGGUAACUGUGGCAGGCAGGGAAGCAUGAACCCUGAAAGCCCUACUUGCUUUCUCAGUGGGGAGGCUUGUAGCCUGGGGCAAGUUCUCAGCCCUGCUCACCAGCUGCCUGGGAACAAACUCAGUGCAGUUGGCGGGGGCAUGGUGGAAGUAAGACUGGCCUUUUAGGCUGUGUGGGAGCCCGGUGAGACCUGUCACUGCUGCUUUCCCCCACUUCCCUGGUGACCUGUAUGACACAGCAGAGACAGCCAUAGUCUGUUGCGGGAAGUCAGGGACCCCAAAUGGAGGGACCGGCUAAAGCCAUGACAGAAGAAUGUGGAUUGUGAAGAUUUUAUGGACAUUUAUUAGUUCCCCAAAUUAAUACUUUUGUAAUUUCUUAUGCCUGUCUUUACUGCAAUCUCUAAACAUAAAUUGUAAAGAUUUCAUGGACACAUCACUUCCCCAAUCAAUAUCCUUGUGAUUUCCUAUGCCUGUCUUUGCUUUAAUCUCUUAAUCCUGUCAGCUGAGAAGGAUGUGUAUCAUCUCAGGACCCUGUAAUAAUUGCGUUAAGUACACAAAUUGUACAGCAUGUGUGUUUGAGCUAUAUGAAAUGUGGGCACCCUGAAAAAAGAACAGGAUAACAGCAAUUGUUCAGGGAAUAAGAGAGAUAACCUUAAACUCUGACCGCCGGUGAGCCGGGCAGAACAGAGCCAUAUUUCUCUUCUUUCAAAAGCAAAUAGGAGAAUUAUCACUGAAUUCCUUUUCUCAGCAUGGAACGUCCCUGAGAAAGAGAAUGCGCACCUAGGGGUAGGUCUCUGAACUGGCCCCCCCAGGGCAUACCUGUCUCUUAUGGUCGAGAUUGCAGAGGUGAAAUAAACUCCAGUCUCCCAUAGCGCUCCCAGGCUUAUUAGGAAGAGGAAAUUCCCGCCUAAUAAACUUUGGUCAGACCGGUUGAUCUCAAAACCCUGUCUCCUGAUAAGAUGUUAUCAAUGACAAUGGUGCCCGAAACUUCAUUAGCAAUUUUAAUUUCGCUUAGGUCCUGUAGUCCUGUGAUCUCGCCCUGCCUCCACUUGCCUUGUGAUAUUCUAUUACCUUGUUAAGUACUUGAUGUCUGUCACCCACACCUAUUCGUAUACUCCCUCCCCUUUUGAAACUCCCUAAUAAAAACUUGCUGGUUUUUGUGGCUUGUGGGGCAUCAUGGAUCCUACCAACGUGUGAUAUCUCCCCCGAACACCCAGCUUUAAAAUUUCUCUCUUUUGUGCUCUGUCCUUUUAUUUCUCAAGCCAGCCAAUGCUUAGGAAAA